rnacentral:lncRNA from 1 species
UCAGAACGUGAGAGAGAGAAAGAGAGAGGAGAAAGGUAAAAAGGCAAAAGGUGAUUUGACCCUACUAUUCAUCAUCUUCCUCAAGUCCGCUGCCCCUCCUCUGCAACUUCCAUCCGCAGGGCUUCCACAGCCGUGCGUCCGCCACAGCCGCUUCGUCGGUCUCCCCACGAAGCUCGCCCCGACGCUUGAGUCCUCCUCCACCCAAGCCCACCGUGCCUCGCCGAGCCUUGCCCUUGCUCCGCUCCCUGACGAACCACCUCACCGCUCACGCCGACGCCGCCUGGAGCUUGAAGCCAGUCCCGUCCGACGCCUGGAUCUUCCUCCGCACGAGCCCCGACGACCCCCGCCGUUCGCCGCUGCCGUCUCCCUUGCAGCGCCUCCACCCGCGACGCGUCUGUUCCGACGCCGCGCCCACACCACGACAACGCUGCUGCAACCACCGACCUCUGCACCCGCACCGCGAUCUCGCCUGUCGCCGGAGCUCUCCAUCGCCCACGAGCUCGCUGCUCCGCCAGCAAGUCCGGAACAGAACGCUAGCCCCUUGCGGAGACGCUGUCCGACUUGUCCGCCGCGCCUCCUCCUCAGCCGCGACGCAGCCCCUACCGGAUUGACGCCUGCACGCCGGUGCUCUGUCCCUGCCACCGCCUCGCCCCACCGGACGCCGAGCCGACGCCCCUGCAGCGCCCCCGUUCGCGAAGCUACCUUCGAUUCACCUCUUCACCGAUCGCUUGCUGCUAUUUUCCUCUCGCCGGAGCUCUGACGAUCAUCCCCUCACGCCGGCGACUCCUCACCGGACCGGCCACCACGUG